UUGAUUGUUGUAAAUCUGGUUUAUUUAAGAGCAUUGGUCAUUUUUUUAAACAAAACUUUGAUUCUAAGAACUUUGAAGACUUCAAAUUACAAUUUCCUUACCUUUUUGUGGUCUGGUUUGAAAGUGGUUAUUAUAAUUUUAUUUGAAGAAAUCAUAUAAAGUGACUAUAAUUAGUUGAAAUUAUUGUGCAAGUUCUUUAUUAAUAAUUUUUGUUCUAUUUCAGGUGGGUGAAAUUGCUUUACAUAGAAGGAUGCUCAUUGUUAACAUUAGAAGGUU
rnacentral:lncRNA from 1 species